ACGCUCGACACCUACGGGGGGCAGCAGUGGGGAAUAUUGCACAAUGGGGGAAACCCUGAUGCAGCGACGCCGCGUGGAGGAAGAAGGUCUUCGGAUUGUAAACUCCUGUUGUUGGGGAAAAAGAGGAUGGUACCCAACAAGGAAGUGACGGCUAACUACGCGCCAGCAGCCGCGGUAAUCUGAGCGGGCUGGCAAGGC
rnacentral:rRNA from 1 species